rnacentral:rRNA from 1 species
CGCAUCUGUGCAUGCAGCAUAUCAAUAAGCGGAGGAAAAGAGGGCUAUUACCUACGCUUAGGAUGUUGACACACGCGCGUGCUCGGCUCUAUACAUGACUCUGUGCAUAUCAAUAAGCGGAGGAAAAGGCAUACCUACGCUUAGGAUGUUGACACACGCGCGUGCUCGACUCUAUACAUGACUCUGCGCAUAUCAAUAAGCGGAGGAAAAGAAACUAACAAGGAUUCUCUUAGUAACGGCGAGUGAAGCGGGAAGAGCUCAAAUUUGAAAUCUUCAAGGUUUUACCUUGACGAAUUGUAGUUUAAAGAAGUGUUUUCUGUUGAAGUUUUGGUAAAAGUUCUUUGGAAUAGGACAUCAUAGAGGGUGAGAAUCCCGUAUUUGACCAUUAUUUUCAGCUGUGUGAUACACUUUCAAAGAGUCGGAUUGUUUGGGAAUGCAGUCCAAAAUGGGUGGUAAAUUUCAUCUAAAGCUAAAUAUUGGCGAGAGACCGAUAGCGAAUAAGUACCGUGAGGGAAAGAUGAAAAGAACUUUGAAAAGAGAGUUAAACAGUACGUGAAAUUGUCAAAAGGGAAGCGUUUGACACCAGUGUUGUUUUCUCGAAAAUCAAUUAAAAAGAGUUUGAUUUUGUUGUGUAUUGACCUUAACAGCUUGCAUUUCAAUUUUCUUGCUUUUUUUAAUGCACUUUUCGUUUAACAAGUCAACAUCAGUUUCUUUUGUUGUAAAAAGGUCAUUGGAAGGUGGCUUUCUUUUCGGAGAAAGUGUUUAUAGCCUUUGACUCCUGCAAUCGGAGAGACUGAGGUCUGCAGCGUAGAUCCUUCGGGGUUAGAUACAUUUGUGCUAAGUUAUAGCUUUUUAUAGACAACUUGUUGACUAUGAUUAGUCUUGUAGCUUACUCGCUUAUGCUAUUUUACCUACGCUUAGGAUGUUGACACACGCGCGUGCUCG